UAGGGAAUCUUCGGCAAUGGACGAAAGUCUGACCGAGCAACGCCGCGUGAGUGAAGAAGGUUUUCGGAUCGUAAAACUCUUUUGUUAGAGAAGAACAAGGACGUUAGUAACUGAACGUCCCCUGACGGUAUCUAACCAGAAAGCCACGGCUAACUACGUGCCAGCAGCCGCGGUAAUACGUAGGUGGCAAGCGUUGUCCGGAUUUAUUGGGCGUAAAGCGAGCGCAGGCGGUUUCUUAAGUCUGAUAUGAAAGUCCCCGGCUCAAGAGGCGAGGGUGGUUGGAAACUGGGAGACUUGAGUGCAGAAGAGGAGAGUGGAAUUCAAUGUGUAGCGGUGAAUUGCGUAGAUAUAUGGAGGAACGCCAGUGGCGAAGGCGGCUCUCUGGACUGUAACAGACACUGAGGCUAGAAAGGGUGGGGAGGAAACAGG
rnacentral:rRNA from 1 species